UACGUAGGGGGCAAGCGUUGUCCGGAUUUAUUGGGCGUAAAGAGCGUGUAGGCGGCUUUGCAAGUCCGUUGUGAAAACUCGAGGCUCAACCUCGAGACGCCGGUGGAAACUGCAAAGCUAGAGUCCGGAAGAGGAGAGUGGAAUUCCUGGUGUAGCGGUGAAAUGCGCAGAUAUCAGGAGGAACACCGGUGGCGAAGGCGGGACUCUGGGCCGAUACUGACGCUGAGGAGCGAAAGCGUGGGGAGCAAACAGG
rnacentral:rRNA from 1 species